rnacentral:lncRNA from 1 species
AAGCACAAGUAGUUUCCCCAGUUUGGCACAUUGUAUCUUAUCUUCAGGGUGCUGCCCUUUCGGCCUUCUUGCUUGGAAGGACAGCUUUCUAAUGAUGAUGGUACUGAGUUGGCAUGGUUGGCUACACAAUGUAUACAAUCUGAACCCUGAGAGCGACCAAAUCCAAAGUCAUUAGUUGCUUCUUUGACUCCUCUUCAGAAAGAGACUGAGGUUAGUUCUCUCCUCUGUUUCUCUAAUUAAGCAUUAUAUUCCCAACUUUACCCGGGGAGCAUAGUUUGACUGUUUAAAAUCUUCACACAAUUGUUUCUAGGUCUAUAUUUUGGGGCAGUCUUGUAAGCAAUAUAUUCAUAAGUUAUCUUCUUUUCACUGGACUCAAUCUGAGCUAUUUGUGUAAGCUCGUAUCUAACUAUUGACCGAUUCAUUAGUUGUAUUAAUACUGAACCUUGUACCAAGCAGAAAUAUUUGAAAACUUGGGAAAAGGACAUGACUCUAAUUUGUUAUUAGUGAGGACUUGAGAGAGCUACACCUUUGUUUAGUGUCUUUCAUGGUGAAUGAUACUCUAUAAAAUAUCAAUCUCUUAUGCCCCAAAUUUGAGGGUAGUUAACUACAAGGGUUUUCAGUGAUACUAUACCUGUCGGGUGCCAAUUAGAAGCACUCAGAUCUACACCAUCGUAGUAGUUUAAUCAUAUAUAGUUAUUGUAGUUUAAUCAUAUAUAGAUAUUGUAGUUUAAUCAUGAUGCUGGUGGCUGUAUCCUGGACCUCCUUUAUUUCUUUUUGCUUACCUCUGCAGGUUCCUUCUUUUGUUUUGAUGGGUAUCCCACAUGGUACCUUCUGGUCUUCUCUUUCACAAGUCGGUGAUGCCUGCUCAAGAACGGAUAUGACCGCUAUACAUGAGAUCCUAGAGAAUAUCGGCUAUAAAGACGAUGGAAUGACAAAUGAGGUUCUUUAUUUUGUUUAAUUAAUGGAGAACUAUCUAAUAAGUUGUGUUUUGUAUAUAUAUAUAUUUAGCCUUCUCAAUAUUUACGUUCCACUGCAGUGCUCGUUCAAAUGUGGACUGACCAAAUGCAGGAAUGAUAAGAUUCAAAGAAAAUGGGGGAUUCUGCUUUUAAGCACUAGGACAUCAGAACCACAAUUGAGUGUUAUUCACAGGUUCUUAUUAUGAUACUUGUGGGAAAUUCUGAGUAGAGGUUUGAUAAGAGUUGCGCUCAUACCGAUAUCCGAAUUUGGCCUUCAAGAGGAUGUUCUUUAUCUGACCUGUUAAAAUAAAUUACCAAACACAGCUUCGUACAGAAUUUUUGUUUGGCAUUAGAUUUCCGGUCAGAACACUAUCAUUACAUUUUAUCUUCUGAUUCAUGAUAGGAAGAAUUGAAGAAAUGAAAUUGUUAGUUUAAGGUAUUUUUAAUCAGUCAGGAACGGCGUAUGUUGCGAAAAUUGGUAGUUUAAGGUACCUUAGAGUACCUGAACCUAGUAACUCUACUUGCAUGACCAAUAAAAAGAACAAAACUGAAAGAAAAGAAAAAUUAGUAAAUCCUUUUUAACUGCUGCUUUCUCUGCAUUUGUUAUCGUUGCUAACAGUUCUAUUUCACUUGCAGGUCAUUGGAGUUUGAACAAUGGUUUCUCCAACAAUUUUUGACCGGCGUAGUUUGUCUUAUCUCAUGAGUGACAACCCUCAGGAAGCUAUAAAAGAUGCAAUGCAAGCACGAGUAGUUUCCCCAGUUUGGCACAUUGCAUGUUAGGCUGUUGCCCUUUCGGCCCUUGGAAUGGUACUAUGCUUGAAUCCAAAAUGAGCAAAGCAGCUGGAUAGAAGUGAAACUCUAGGCCGCUCGACCAGGUUCCUAGCUUGCCACUUCUCUCGGUUUGGCUCUCAGCUUAUAUAGCCGUCGAUCGAUCAUAAGGUUUAAAACCACUAGAGCCAAAGCUUCAUCAUUUCCACGGUAUUAGAUUUUGUCAUUUUCCAGCAGUAUAUAUUGUAUUUGAAUUGUUUGUUUGAUUUGAUUUUCCGUGCGUCAAAUGAUUCGAGUAUAUGAAUUACUUUGACAAAAUAGAAAGAAAAAAUAGAAAGUUGUAAAAAAACACUGGUAGGGAGGAUGUCAUUCAUAAGCUUGUACUUUGUGUGCAGAAAGCAUAUAGGAUUCCUGGUGUAUCAUUUCUGAUUAAUAAUAAUAAUAAUUAGUUGUUAAACGUCGUCUGAUCAUUGAUAGACAUAUGUACAAGACUGCAACCAAUCCAUUGAACUAAAAUUUACGACGAACAAAACAAUCACAUGUAGUCCAGAAUUAACUGAAUAUCUUUAGUUCAUAUCAUGAAUCAAAACAUAUACUGCAGAAAGGUCUUGAUAAAGUAAACAUAAACAUAAACUUCUUACAAACAAUUAACACUUACAAAUCAUCUGUCAAGUAGAUUUAGUAGUAAAGUUCUUUAUUAUGACAACUCAAUACUUUGAAAACUUGUACAGAUAAUGGUUCGUGGAAGCUCUUUCAGUGAAGUGAGGCCGUCUACACUGUCUCAGAAGAUGCUGUAGAUAAAAAUAAACAAGCACAUGUAGUUAGGUUUUUAAGAAGACAGUGAAAUUAAUCCGAAUGACUUUACGAAUAGAUGCAUGCUUAUUGCUUAAUUUAAGAAGGACAAAUAAAAUCACAUUUACAUACCAUUGCUUAAUUGAAGUGCUGCUUGAUUGAAAUCACCGUCACAUAAAACCAAUCAUUCAAGACAUUCAAGAACCUGAAGUACGAGUAUCUCCAUGACCUCACAAAAAUCAGACUGCCACAAACUCCCCAAAAUCCAACAAUAAAGCCAAGCACCAUGCUGAUGUAAAAUUCCCAUGUUAUAGGCUCAUCCUCCUCUUCUUCGUUGCUCGAGAUUGGAGUUUCCUGUUGAUCACCACACAUCUUUGGAAGUGGAGGUCCGCACAACUGAGGAUUUCCAGCAUAAUCAGAGGGAUCAAAACUUUGGAGCUGAGUGCCAGUUGGAAUUUUGCCAAUAAAGUUGUUGUAUGACAAGUUCAAGACACCAAGACCAUAUAUCUGAGCAAGGCUUGUUGGAAUUCUGCCAUCUAUCUGGUUUCUUGACAAAUCAAGGGCAUCCAAUGAUUGCAACUUUCCAAUCUUUGCAGGUAACUCACCUGUCAAAUCGUUUCUCGACAGGUUUAAAGAAACUAACCCAACAAGAUCCGUGAUUUCACUUGGAAUCUCCCCCGUUAAUCUAUUGCUAGAGAAAUCAAUUCUCUUCACAAGUCCCAAAGUGUUUUUGUACGAGUACAUUCUUCCCUUCCAUAUAAAUGUUGCAUCAUCCAUAUAACUAACCCAAUAGGAAGUAUCAUCUCUUCUGUACCAAUGUCCAAUGGUCGGAGAAGAGUUUCCCUUCUGUGCCAAAACAGUAAAAUUGCUGAGGCAUUUUGGUAUUGUUCCAGAGAUGUUAUUCGCAGACACAUCCAAGUUUUGAAUGUUUGUUAGACGGCAUAGUUCAGAUGGCAUGCUUCCGUUGAAGUUAUUAGAGGAAAGCAUCAGGACAACCAAUUUCUGAAGGCUAACCCCUAACCAUUUUGGAAUGGGUCCUGAUAAUUGAUUGUACCCAACAUCAAGAACUUUUAAACUGGUGCAAUUCUUGAAGGAUGAAGGAAACUCGCCAACAAAUCUGUUGCUUCUUAAUUUCAAUGUUUCCAUGCGAUAUAGUGAGCCCACCGUGGAUGGAAUUUUGCCGGAAAAAGCAUUGUAACUCAAAUCAAGCAUGACUAGAUGGUCAAAAUGUGUCCAGCAUUGUGGAAGUUCUCCGGAGAGAUUGUUGUUUGAGAGAUUAAGAAACAUUAAACUCUCGUAUGCUUCACACAAGAUAGAAAUUGACCCUGAAAUGUUGUUAUUAGAGAGAUCCAAAGAUGACGCAUGCGAUAGAGUUGAGGGAAUUGGACCUUCGAUUUGGUUCGAACUCAAAUGUAUUUCAGGAUAAUAUGUAAAAUUCAUUGUCGAACUUGCAAACAUUUCUCCAAUUUGAUUAUUGGAAAGACUGAUAAAUCUCGCGUAACGAGUCGUACCCCAAAACCAGCUUGGAAGGAUAUCCACAAUUCCAGCAUCAGAAAUAUCGAGGGCUGAAUACUCAUUCUGAGUUUGAAGCCAUUUUGGAAAAUACGGACCCAUUUUGCAAGAUCCCAAAUAUAUAAACUUCAAUUUAAAUGGAGGAACCCAAUUAGAAUUGAAGCUUAAAACUAGCGAGUUAGAGGACAAAUACAAAUACCGUAAUUUGGAGAGUUGAGAGAAAUGGGUUUCCGAAACCACACCUUCCAGAUCAUUCAUACCCAAGUACAUAUACUCCAGAUUAGACAGUUGCCCAAUACUUUCAGGUAUUGUUCCACUCAAUUGAUUUCCAUCGAGAUAUAAUUCCUCCAGAUUAGACAGUUGCCCAAUGCUUUCAGGUAUUGUUCCACUCAAUUGAUUUCCAUAGAGAUCUAAUUCCUCCAGAUUAGACAGUUGCCCAAUGCUUUCAGGUAUUGUUCCACUCAAUUGAUUCCUAUAGAGAAAUAAUACUUUCAACGAUGAAAAGUUUGUAAGAUUAGGAAUUGAUCCAGAAAUAUGAUUGUAAGAGAGGGACAGAGACUCUAAUGAGUUUUGAACACAUGUAGACAACAUUUGAACAAACUCGGAAAACUGUCCACUCAGACUAUUAUUGACAAGGUACAGUGAUUGCAAACUGCAUAAGCUGGAAAAAGAAUGCGGAUUCACCGCGUCAAAUUUGUUAUAAGAGAGAGAUAGAUAGACAAGAGAGGUCAAGUUUUCAAUGACGCUGGGAAUUAAACCAGUUAAACUGCUGUUAUCGAGGCGAAGAAAGACAAGGCUAGCAUUGUAGUUUGACAACCAUAAAUAUAUUGAAGGAGAAGUGCAUUGGCUGUCAGAGAGUUCAACAUGAGCAAGAGAUUUUGAAGAAUUUAUGUUAAAAAGAGUACUGGAAUGGAUUACAGGAGAAGGAAGGCUACACUCCAGUAACGUCAAGUUUGUAAGUUUAGGGAGCUUACUAACUAUUUCCAGCCAGUCAUGAGCAUUACUGAGAUUGGUGCUACUCAGAUCCAAAUAUGUUAAAGAAGAAAGAUGAGGGAGCCAUGAUUUCAGAUUUUCUACACUGUUAAAGUCAUUCCCACUGAGAUCAAGAUAUUGCAAGUGGGUAAGGUUUCCAACUUGACUUGGAAAUCGACCACCAUAAGAAGCAUAAGAGAGAUCGAGUUGAGUAACAUGGUUGGUUCGGUUGCUGCAGUGGACGCGGACCCAUUUGCAACAAUCUUGCUUGUGUUCUUCUCUUCCCCACGAAGAGAGGAGAUUGUAGGGAUCCACGAGGCCGUGCUUGAAAGCAAGGAGUGCUUCUCUUUCCCUCUCAAAGCACCUCACCACUCCUUCCGAAGAAAUAUUUUUGAAUCCAAGGGAAAAGGAAGGGUUGACAGCACAUUGCAGUAAAGUGAACACCACAAUUAGAGCACGAAAGAGUUUCAUCAAGCACCUGAUUCUGUCACCCUCCAUCUUAAUUCAACUAAAUCAACCAAGAGACAAUUGAAGCACGAAAGAGUUUCUUUAGGAUUUUGAUUUUGGAGCAAAAGGAAAGCUGCGCAAGUGUAGUUCAAAAUGAACGGAGAAAAGUAUAAAUAAAAUAUCCAAUAAUUGUGAAGAAAAAAAACUCUUUCGUUGAAAGGUGGGCCUUCUGCAAGCACCUGAUUCUGUCACCCUCCAUCUUAAUUUUGUCACCCUCAAACACUAAAGCAAGGUAGGCCUUCAAGUACCAAGCAGAGGCAAAGCAAUAUACGAUCAAAAGAUAGUCACAUCUUUAUUCAGGAAUUAAAGUUGCCAUAAUUCAAGUGGGAAUGCAUUGACUUAAAUUAGUAAUUUAAAGUCUUGGUUCUUGGAAUUAUUCGUGUCAAAAGUUUAGGGUAGAUUGGUUACUGAUCACCAGCUUCAGAACAUACCCACAAUCUCAAGCUAGAAGGACUUAAGCGUGGCACCUAACUGUCAGCUGCUAUCAGUAUGGAUUUACAUAGGAAUUUACCAAUCGAGCACCAACGAGGACUGCUGGCAAUGAGACUCGAACCUUGGUAGGGCGAGACACAAAGCAGAGACCUUACAAACUGAGCCAACCCCUGUUGGGUCCUUGGAAUUAUAAGUUCAUAACACUAUAUUUGUUUUCACAGUUUUUAUUCGUUUUAAAUGUUGUUUGUCUUGGCCAUUUGGCAUGUGUGUGAUUUUCGUCCUAAUUUUUCAUGCUCAAAACUCUAUUUGGAAUUAUAAGUGCAGGACACAAUUAAACAACGCCACAAAGAGGCCACGCUCAAAACUCAAAAAAAAGAUAAUUAUUCAGAGAUGAUGCACAACUUAAGAGGCCCCUUGCUAAUCUUGGUCACAGUUGUACAUGAUUGAGGAUAGUUAGUAGCUUGGUCUUCAAUUGUCAUGUACAACAAGACCGUAAUACUGAAUGACAAAACUUUAUUUUAAGUGAAAUGUCUCUUUUAUAAGUGAAGAAAAAUACAACUAAAUCAUAGUACUAAAUAACAAAACUAUAUUUUCAUUAGAAAGUUUUCAAGAUAUGCGAUCUUAUAUAGCCUUUCUAUAUAGAAUGGUGUUUUUUUUUUCCUUCAAAAUAUAGUGCGCAAAAUGUCGACAUUGAGACAAGAAUAAUGUCAAAGAAAACAUUUCAUUGAAGAAGUACCAAGUCUUAUAAAUAACAGUUAAAAAAAUGAUUCUUACAAAUAACAAUUCAAAAAAAAGUUUCUUACAAUUAACAGUACAAGGUCCUAACCCAGCCUUCAAAGGAUAAUAAAAAGAGUUUCAAAAUUUUGAAUAAAAAUAAUUUAAUAAUUUUAGUUAAUUAAGACCAAAAAUAUUAACAAAAACACAAAUUAGUUUUCUUCUCUUUCUUCUCUCUCCCCCCUUUCGCUCUUCGGAUGAGGAUUCUCUCCUCCUUUUUUCCCAUCCACUCCCAUCCUCUUCCUGAUUGUGUGAUUACGAUUAAGUUACGUGAACAUUUUAUAUUGAUUUUUUUUAUAAAGAUAAUAAGAUAAAAAGACGUGAUUUAACCGUGACCACACAAACAGAGAAAUGAUGGAAGUGGAUGAGAAAAAAGGAGAGAAUCCUCCUCCUUCGUCUUCAGUCUUCACCACCUCUUUUCUUUUUCACCCAUCCCCUCUAUCCACCCGUGCCUCAUCUAUUUCUUCCUGGAUAAUAAAAAGAGUUUCAAAAUUUUGAAUCUUAAUUAAAAAUAAUUUAAUAAUUUUAGUCAUUAAUUAAGACCAAAAAUAUUAUAAAAAUAUUAACAAAAACACAAAUUAGUUUUCUUCUCUUUCUUCUCUCUCCCCCUUUCGCUCUUCGGAUGAGGAUUCUCUCCUCCUUUUUUCCCAUCCACUUCCAUCAUCUUCCUGAUUGUGUGAUCACGAUUAAGUCACGUCAAUAUUUUAUUUUAUAUAGAUAAUAAGAUAAAAAGACGUGGCUUAACCGUGACCACACAAACAGAAGAAUGAUGGAAGUGGAUGAGAAAAAAAGAGGAGAGAAUCCUCCUCCUUCGUCUUCAGUCUUCACCACCUCUUUUCAUUUUCACCCAUCCCCUCUAUCCACUGCCUCAUCUAUUUCUUCCUAGAUAAUAAAAAGAGUUUCAAAAUUUUGAAUCUUAACUAAAAAUAAUUUAAUAAUUUUAGUCAAUAAUUAAGACCAAAAAUAUUAUAAAAAUAUUAACAAAAACACAAAUUAGUUUUCUUCUCUUUCUUCUCUCUCCCCCCCCCCUUUCGCUCUUCGGAUGAGGAUUAUCACGAUUAAGUCACGUCAACAAUUUAUAUUGAUUUUUUAAUAGAGAUAAUAAGAUAAAAAGAUAUGACUUAACCGUGACCACACAAACAGAGAAAUGAUGGAAGUGGAUGAGAAAAAAGGAGGAGAGAAUCCUCCUCCUUCGUCUUCAGUCUUCACCACCUCUUUUCUUUGGACUUGGAUUCUCUGCCCUCCCAUUUCGGUGUCCUCCCCGUGCCCUCCUGUUUUGUAUGAUCACGGUUAAUCCAUGCUAACAUUUUAUAUUGUUUUUUAUAAAAAUAAUAAGACAAAAAAAAAAUAGUAAUAUAAAAUAUUGACGUAGCUUAACCGUGACCACACAAACAGGAGGGCAUGGGGAGGACACCGAAUUGGGAGGGCAGAGAAUCCAAGUCCCUUUUCUUUUUCACCCAUCCCCUCUAUCCACCCGUGCCUCAUCUAUUUCUUCCUGUCUCUCUCAUCCAUCACUUUCUCUCACCUCUCACUAACACAAAAAGCCAAGUCCCCACAUCUUAUCUUGUUAUAUUAUUAUUCUUUUAAACUCUCCCCUCACUUCCUUUUCACCCUUCACAACCUCUAUAUAUCGUAAUUAUUUUUUAUGAAUUUUUUUGUGAUUUGUGUACAAAAAGCAUAUACGAUUAUCAAUGUAUUAUUUUUUAUGAAAUAAAUAAUAGUUAGUUUAUUAAACGUCAUGGCAUCGUUAUUAGACAUAGAUAUAAGUUACUACUUGGAUUAAAAUAAUAAUUAGUUUAUUAUACGAUUCAUUCAAAGGAUACCACCCAAGAUGAAGUUGAGUAACAUGGUUGGUUCGGUUGCUGCAGUGGACGCCGACCCAUUUGCAACAAUCUUGCUUAUGUUCUUCUCUUCCCCACGAAGAGAGGAGAUCGUAGGGAUCCACGAGGCCGUGCUUGAAAGCAAGGAGUGCUUCUCUUUCCCUCUCAAAGCACCUCACCACUCCUUCCAAAGAAAUAUUUUUGAAUCCAAGCGAAAGGGAAGGGUUGACAACACAUUGCAGUAAAGUGAACACCACAAUUAAAGCACGAAAGAGUUUCUUCAAGCACCUGAUUCUGUCACCCUCCAUCUUAAUUCAACUAAAUCAACCAAGAGACAAUUGAAGCACGAAAGAGUUUCUUUAGGAUUUUGAUUUUGGAGCAAAAGGAAAGCUGCGCAAGUGUAGUUCAAAAUGAACGGAGAAAAGUAUAAAUAAAAUAUCCAAUAAUUGUGAAAAAUAUUUAUACAAGAAAGAUUAUAUUCAAACACCCUAAAUUACUGUUUUCUCAUUUUUUUUAAUUUUUUAAUAUUUUCUACACACCACUAUCAUUUGAUAAAAAAAUAUUAAAAAAUUAAAAGACACUAGUUGAUACUUAAUUUCCCACCUUCUCCUUAAUUUAAGGCACUAGUUGAUACUUUAUUUCCCACCUUCUCCUUGAUUUAAGGCCUUUGUUUCGCACUUGUUGAUGCUUUAUUUCUCACCUUCUGUUUCCCACUUGUUCAUACUUUGUUUCCCACCUUCUGUGACUUUAUGGUACAACAGUACGUAAUGAUGAAUAGUAAAGAAUAAAUGGACAAGAUUGAAAAUAGACUAUUCAAUACUUGUGGAAAUUUUUGUACAAUAAAAUAACCAAUGAUUCUCCUUCUCCAAUGUAUUUGUCAUUUCAUCUUAAACACGCACAAUCAAAAGUGGGGCUACAAGUAGCUAUCAGAGGCAAUACAAUAGGUGAUCAAAACAUAGGCAUAUCUUUGUACAAGCAUUAAAGUUUCCACUAUUAAAGUGGGAAUUGCAGAAAAUCAUGAAAAGAUCACUGUAGCCCUUCGUCCGAAAACCUCCGCCUUGUAGAUGUGGGGAGCGGUGUGGGUCUUCCGGGUUUGAUCUUAGCCAUUGCUUGCCCAGGUAAGUAACUACUGUGCAUAUUUGGCACAUUUGAACAGGAGGAAGUUAGGAAUGCAGAAAAAGCAAUUCAGAUUUUGGGUGCUUCCGUGUUGAACAAUGCGCAGGCAUGUCAUAUCUCUAUUUGAAAACUUAACAAACCUAUCAUGUAUAUGGGGGAGAGAGAGAGAGAGAGAGCUAAAAAUGUUUACUGAUGUAACCUCUGUUUGUAUCCAGUGGAAUCGCACAGCCCAUACGGACAUGUAUCCAGGAAAACAUGUAACCUCUGUUCGUGUCUAGCCAGCCUUUACCAGUGCUUGUUUCAUGUGACACACUUUAUGAUAUUCCAUUACCAUCCAAAGCAUAACUUAUUUUGUCAUCCAUUUUAUUUGAAUGAAUUACGAAACGUAAAUAAAACCGAAUGUAUACUUCAUACAUCUAUUUUCACGUGACAAGAAAGACAAUUAUACAGAGUUCUAUCUAAUUUCAUGUAACUUAUAUAUAUACUCGAUUUUAUGUAAAUUUUAACUCAAUAUACACCCAAUUUUAUGUAAGUUAAGAUGAUAAUUAUGGCCUUGCAGUUUAAUCUGUCAUAAAACACCCAUAUUUCCACCAGCGUUCAUGCAUUAGGCAAUAAAGUUACUUAUUAACCAAUAAAAGAAGAAAAAGAAAAAGGGGUUCGUGAGAGGCAGGAGCUGCUAUACCUGCAACAGGGAAAAAAGUGUUUUUUAUUCCCUUGAAACCUGUUGAUCUCUCAACUCUGCGUAUCAUCAUUACAUUGUGAAAGUGGGUUGACACCGCCCUUGUUGCAAAAAUAGUAUAAACAAUCGAACAUUAGGCUGACAACAGAACAUGCACAUUGCACACACUUUUGUUCUUGGUAUAAAUUGUGUAGGGAUGCCCAACAAUUCAUAAGACAACACACCCACAGCCGGAAGUUGGUCUCUACAAUGUUUAAUCCAUUGCAGAUAUAAAUCAAUAGAUUCUGGUCCCUUUUUGAUAUUCUGUAAAUCAAUUUUCAUUUGACCAAUACUGGUUCUUGUCAUAUUAGAGAAUCUUUCUUUGAGAUCAGUCCACAUUUCUCUAGAAGUUUGACAACCAAUAACAGAGGAUACAGCAUCAGUUGAUAAUGUGUCAGUGAUAAGAGUCAUUAAAGCUUUGUCAUGAAUCUUCCAAACCUUAAAAGCAUCAGCAAUCACUGGUGGAUUUUCAACAGUCUCAUUUGCAAAAUCAGACUCUACAUAUUUGUUUGGACAAGGUAUGGAACCAGUAACAAACCCAAGAAUUCCAUAUCCAUCUAACAAGAGUUCCAUUUGAAAAUUCCAUGUAACAUAAUUGGAAUCAUCAAGUUUUACAGUCACAGUGUUUCCAACACUGGGAAUCAACGAAGAGAUCGAUGACUGAGUAAGAGCUAACUGAGCAACAAUAACCAUUUUUAUAUGAACACACCAAAUCAACUAGAAAUUCUAGCAACAGACAAAAUCAUCAACUUUGCAAGAAUCAACACAUCGACAAUCGAAGAUGAACAAAUCAACAAUCAACAAUAAUACACCACAAAUCCAUCAAAUAGCAACAUGAUCUCCACCAAAGAAAGCAAGAAUCAAAGAAUGAAUCAAGAAUCAACUUUCAUUAUGCUUGCGCUCUCGUCAUUGUUGCCCUUAUUAAAUACAUUUUUAAAUUUUAAGAAUUGUUAUUAGCAUUUCAAAAUUUUCAUUAUGCACUCCAAACUUUUUAUAUUUAGAAAAAGAAAAUACACUUGUGAGUAGGGGUGCAACUCGGGGGACUUGAGCGGGUUAGAUGGUCAACUCAAUCCUAACCCAACAUUCCUAAUUCGGGUUUGGGUUCAUGGGGUUUUACUCAAGUUCGGGUUUAAGUUGGGUUCAGGCUUACUUGGGUUUGUCCAAUUUUACCAAAUUCAAUCUUCUAACACAUUUUUUUAUAAGAUAAAUCUCAAAUUUUGAACCAAAUAACGCGAAACUAUUUAAAAUUCAAUUUUACACAUCACCAUCCAUAAAAAGAAUAAACCAAAUAGUGUGGAACACAUUUCAAAAGUUUCAACCACACAAAGUUGAAAUUAAAUGGCAAGACAAUACCAACGUUUUAACCAAAAGUAAAGUAAAAGCAACAUUAUUGUUCAUUGUUCAAAUGAAAAGCAACAACAAACUCAAGUAUGGCCUCCAAAACUCGUAUCUAGCUUAUAUAAUAUGAAGUAGGACGGGUAAUACGUGCAUGAGCAAUUUGAGCUAGAAAUCAGAUUGGAUUUGGCUUGAAGCAAACAUCAACCCAACCCAACCCAAUAGGGUAGGUUUGAAAAACCGAAAACCGAAAAAUAAUCAAACUGAACACCGAACCGGAUUAAAAAAAAUCAAACCGAACUGGAUUAUAUUGGCUCGGUUUCGAUUUCAAUAGUUCGAAAACCGAACUAAACCGAAUUGAACCGAAUUCUAAACCCAUUUAAACGAGUUUUAUGAUACUUAACUAACCCUUACUAACUAAUACAUUACAUUGUGUACAUGUGCAAUUAGUUUAAGGAUUUGUUAUUGUUUUUUAUUGCCAACUGCUUAAGAUGAAAUGGAUUUUGGCAGGAGCCAAUUGCUUAACAAAUACACGGUAUGAAAUGGAUUCUAUGUUAAUUUCCCAUUGCAUAUAAUUAUUAGAAUUUAGUUUUUGCAUUACAAUUAUUUGAGGUCAGUGCCUUAUAUGACCAUGCAUUUUAAUUAUGUUUGGUUAUCCAUGUUAGCUUAGCUUGAUACAAUUAUUAGUAUCAUUUUUAUUUUUUUUUUGGAAAGUGGGAUCCAAAAGGAUCGCCAUCAAGGAGUUUUUAUUAAAACAAACACAAACUUAGAAACAAAACAAAUGCCUAAAUUAUUCCGAGAAACAAACAAAGAACAGGCCUAAAAACAAAGGAAACGCAUAAAAUGAGCUCAACAACAGUGAAGCCCAAACAAAAACGAACAUCCAAUAAACAUCCAUUGUGCUCUCCACCGCCAAUCUGAGAAGUAGUCAGUCAUCCAAUCCUCCAUACACCGCUGAUCAUCACCUCCACAGGCACCACCUGCACAUAGCCAUCAACAAGAGAUAGUCGGCGAGAGAGAAGCCAACCAUCGGAAAGAAGCUCUAAGAAAAUCUCGAGCAACAUUGCUGCGAACGGCAGACAACAAGGAGAACGUGGUGAUGUGGGAAACACCCGAGCCGGAUACAACACCAAAACUCUACACACGAACUCUACAGAAACCAUGGCUGAAAAACAAAGCACGGAAGGGCCAUGAAAGGGGAUACCUAUGGGGGUUGAGGGAUGGGAAAAGCCAGAAAGGAAAAGGAGAAGAACCAUCAGCAGAUGGAAGGGGAGAAGAAAGAAAAACAAAAGCAGAAAAACUAGAGGAAAAGGUAAAAGACCAUCAGCAGAUGGAAGGGGAGAAGAAAGAAAAAACAAAUACAAAAAACCACCACUGAUCUCAGCUACAGCUAGGAUCAGUGGCACCAAACGGAAGCACGAUCGGGAAAUCACUCACACAAUAUGGUGAGAAGCACCUUCAAACAAAGGGAAGAACUCUCACAAGGAGAGAAAAGAGGAAAGUUUCCCGGGUUAUCUCCGUUUUGGUUUUGGCAUUCCUCCACGCUCAUCCAUUAUUAGUUUCAUUUUUGGUACUGGAAUGUAUGCGUCUUCCCAUAUUUUUGGUAAUGGAAUAAACAUGCAUCUUCCCUCCCUUCGAAGUUUCAACAAUGCAUGCAUUAGUGAUAUAGUGUACCAUGCAACGGUGUUAGUACUUAUUGAGAAAAAAAAAUAUACAUACAUAUACAUAUAUAUAUAUAUACACACACAUACAGUGGCGGAUCCAGGAAAUAAUGUUUGGGGGGUCAACAAGGAUAGCGCGCGCAGCGCGAAGUUUUUUUUUAACAGAAACGGCAUGCAUAUCGUCAUUUCAUCGGGUCUUGGUAGGAUAGCGUGAUCAGCCUCUCGCCGAUAGUUACCAUACUGAAAGGUGCCUUCACUUUCCCUGACAACAAAAAAUAAACAUAAAAUUGGGUUGGAUGGUUCAUAAUAAACAUAAAAUUCUGAUGUCAAUAUGGUGGUUCAUAAUAAUAUUUUUUAGAGAUCAUAUUAAUUUAUGUUGAAUAUAAAGAGAAAUAAAGUUGUUAAAUAUGUGGAUGUGGAAAGGGCACACACAUCAUUACCAUUAAUUUAUGUCAAAUAUGUGGAUGUGGACGCAUGGGAACUUUGCAAUCUGCACCAAGACUUAAUGGUGACAUCUUCAACUUGACACACGAACCGAACUGACAGCCCAUGGCUUUUUACACAAAGCAAGCAAUUUGAUGCUAGCUGUACAAAUUUGAUUGGAGAGAAACUAAGAAAAAAAAUUAAAUAAGAAGAGUGUGUGGUCACGUGGUGUGAAAGGAAGAGAGAGAACGUCUUCGUCUUCCUCUUCCGCCAAACCGAACGAAAACCAGAAGAAACCCAGAAAAAUGCAGCAGCUCCAAGAGGUCGCACCAGCAACUUUAAGGGAUCGCACCAGCAGCUCCAAGGGACCUCUAAGGUUAUUUCCAUGGCUUCCAAGGGGUCGUGCCACCCCAUUGACCCCACUGUGGCUCCGCCUCUGCACACAUAUACACACACACACACACACACAUAUAUAUAUAUAUAUAUAUAUAUAUAUAGAGAGAGAGAGAGAGAGAGAGAGAGAGAGAGAGAGAGAGAGAGAGAGAGAGAGAGAGAGAGAGAGAGAGGUAUUCAUCAAUUCCCCCUUGAACUUGUGAUCAUUGGCUAAUUCUCCCCCUCAACUUUAAUUUUGGCCAAUUUCCCCUCUCAACUCUCAUAAUUAGUCAAUUUCCCCCCUCAACUUUAAUUUGGCCAAUUUCCCCCUCAACUCUCAUAAUUAGUCAAUUUGCACCCUACUGUUAAUUUUUUUUUUAAUUUUCCAUCUAUUCUUUUUUUUUCUUUCAAUCUUUCUAAUAACUUCCAACAAAGUACUAAAAUUAACAUAAACUCACGAGCAUAAUAUAGGGUAAAAUGUACAAAAACAUAAUACAAUUAGUAUGUGAUAUGGGUUGAUUAUAAGAAAAUGUUAUGAAUCAGGUUUAAAGCAUGUAGAAGAAGAAAUAAUAAUCCUAAACUCAUGGAUCAGACCUAUUUCAAUAAAAUGGGUUAUUCUUAAUAAGGAGUCGAAAAUUAUGAAUUGACUAGCCUUUUUUGCACUAAAGCUCGAUUCUCCGCAAUUUACUUGAACUUAGUUUUCACUUUUGUAAAGAAAAUUGUAUUCACAUACAAAAAUGUACACAUCAAUCCUUUUCGUUAUCAAUUUUGUAUAGUAAAAAAUCAAAUAAAAUUACUUCAUACUGAUUUAUUAUGACUAAUAAUACUAUCUAUGAUAAAUUGUAAAAUUCUAAAUUUUAAUCUAUUUGUAAUAGGAUAAAGACAUAGCAAAAUGAUUAACAUACAUCUUAUUUAGUUUCUUACACACACUUGUUUAAUUAUGAUCAAAUUAAAAAAUUAACAGUAGGGUGCAAAUUGACUAAUUAUGGGAGUUGAUGGGGGAAAUUGACCAAAUUAAAGUUGAGGGGGGAAAUUGACUAAUUAUGAGAGUUGAGGGGGGAAAUUGGCUAAAAUUAAAGUUGAGGGAGAAAAUUGGCCAAUAGUUCAGGGGGGAAAUUGAUGAAUACCUCAUAUAUAUAUAUAUAUAUAUAUAUAUAUAUAUAUAUAUAUAUAUCGAACCGAAUUUGAACCAAACUUACAAAAAUCGAAUCGAAGUCAAACUGAACCGAAAAAAACUAAAAGAAAAAUCGAACCGAAUCGAAUCGAAUAGUAACUUUGGUUUGAUUUUCGGUUUAGACAAAAAACCGAACAAAAAGGUACCGAACCCCCCCUCCUACAACCCAAUAAAUAAUCAGGUUGAGGUCAGUUUGGGUUUUGGCUGGUUUUUCCUUUAUUCUAACCCUCUCGAUCGAGUUUGAAAUCAGGUUGGGCAUGAGCGGAUUCGGGUUGACCCAACUCAUGUUGCACUCCCAUUGUGAGGAGUGCAAGAUGAAAUUUUUGGAGUGCUAAUAACAAUUCUCAAAUUUUUUAUGACAAACUUAAGAUGAAAAUACAUUAAGGAUCAAAAUGAAGCAACUCAAAAACUUUUGGCACAAAAUCGAAAAUGGUUUGAAGAGCCACUUGAUAGAAUAAUUGAUAGUCAUAAUAAAACUAUGUAAUAUUUUGAUGUGGCAACACACUUUUUCUUUUCGUGUGGAUUAAGGGUAAAUUCCCCUACAUGAUUUUUAUCAAGACCUCAUCUCAAAAACCCUAUCCUCAUCUCAUAAGUAUCGUACUUUUCACUAUAUAUGUAGGAAAUCUUUAAGGGAAGGGAUUCUUAUUUUUUUUUAAAUAAGAAUUAGUUGUGGGGUCUACAUUACAUCGGACUUUAGCGAUCCGAAUCGUCUAUUUUUCAAGCUGCACCUCAUAAAUCAUCCUUGCAAAAUAUUAGCCAAAUCGAAAAUGUUUAAGACAUCCAAUUGGGUUCAAAGAAAUUAAUAAAUACUUUGUUAUAUAAGAAACAAUGAAAUUUUAUCUUGAUAAUUAAAUAGACAAAUAGUUUGGAAUUGAAUUGAAUUAUGGUAAGGAUGAUCUAUGAAUCGAGAAUUACAAAACAGACGGUUGGAACGUUGAAGUUCGAUGAGGAGUGAGCCCCACACCUAAUCCCUAUUUUUUUUUUUAAAGGGAAAGUUUUUGCAUAAAUGGUUUGUAUAUAUAUAAUACCUUUUAGCAAAACAAAUUAUCAAAUGAAAAAUGAAUAAUUUGGUUUUCAGCCGCAAAAUAAAAUCAUGAACAACCAAUUUUAAUUUAAAAAAUAAAAAAAUAAUUUUUUUCCCACUUCUUUUCAUAUAUUAUACUAGAAAAAGCCUUGAGAAAUAUACUUUUUAUAUUUUUAAAUAUUUUUUUUAUGAGAGGAAAAAGAGAGAAGGAGAGAGAAUGAGUUUACAUAGCAUUGAUAAAGUAACAUAGCUGUGAGGUUUGAAAAAAGAAAGUAAAAAUUUGUUUGUACAAAAUUACUUUAACGCUCACAUUGUUUUUUUUUAAUUUUUUUUUUCAGUUUUGUAUUAAAAAGUAUAUUAGUAAUUUUAUUAGUAAUUUUUUUUCAAUUUUGUAAAAAUAUAAUUUUUCGUUAAAAUAAACAGUACUGUGGGUUUUCCGUUAAACUCCCUUUAGAUUUCUCAAAAACAUUUGUGUUUGAAUCUGGUAAAUUAUAAAAUAAAGAAAAACCUAUUUUGCUCCCAAUGCCAUCUUCUACUUUCUUCCCCUCCCAACAAUGAAAAACCCUCAAAAACCAAAAGGCUGGUGAGGAGGACGACCAUGGUGGCCACUGCAUUGCUGCCUACUUCCUCUUUACUGCUGAUUACGGCCCCGAGCCCAACGCUCUCGAUCCUGUAAGUUCCUGUUUCUUCCCGCAAUUUCAUCUUCAGAAAUCAAACUUUGAUCUUGUUACAAAAAGGGUAGCGAGAAAAUCAAAACUUAAUCUCUUGGUUCACAAUUUAAUUUCUCAGACUUGCAAUUCGAGCUCACAAAUUUUGGGGUCUUUCCAUUUCGUGUUCGAUUUACAAUUGUUAGUUGUAGAAUGAAUGUGGGUUGUGUAACUGGACUAGUUUGGUAUACUUUGUUUUCGCUUUUCAACGAUUUUGUUCAUGUCUUUUUAGCAAAAUGAUAAUGCGAGUGAGGUUUUGGUUAGUUUUCUCUGCUUGUGUAGUUACCACUCUGUAAUUACAAAUGUUUUGGUAUUUGAUUGUCUACGACGAAGCCAAGGUUGCGAUUGUAAAAAGCUGUAGAAAAUGUGAUUUAGGAAUGCUCUUGGACUGCAAUUCUGUAGAUUGUUGAGCACUUUCUUUUUUCUUCCCUGAAUGUAGAGAGGAGCAUUUUUAAUGAGUUAGGAACGACGUAUUUUGCCAAAAUUGGUAGUUUAAGGUACUUAAAGUACCUGAACCUAGUAACUCUACUUGCAUGACCAAUAACAAGAACAAAACUGAAAAAAAAAACUUGGUAAAUCCUUGAUUGCUGUUUUAUCUGCAUUUGUUAUCGUCGCUUACAGUUUUCUUUCGCUUGCAGUUCAUUGAUGCUGAAACGAUGGUUUCUCCAACAAUUUUUGCCCGUCGUAGUUUGUCUUAUCUCAUGAGUGACAAGCCUCAGGAACCUCUCAACGAUGCAAUGCAAGCACAAGUAGUUUCCCCAGUUUGGCACCUUGUAUCUUAUCUUCAGGGUGCUGCCCUUUCGGCCAUUCAGAUGCUGACAGAUUCUUGCUUGGAAGGACAACUUUCUAAUGAUGAUGGUACUGAGUUGGCACGGUUGGCUUCACAAAGUUUACAAUCUGAACCCUGAGAGCGACCAAAUCCAAAGUCAUUAGUUGCUUCUUUGACUCCUCUUCAGAAAGAGACUGAGGUUAGUUCUCUCCUCUGUUUCUCUAAUUAAGCAUUAUAUUCCCAACUUUACCUGGGGAGCAUAGUUUAACUGUUUAAAAUCUUCACACAAUUGUUUCUAGGUCUAUAUUUUGGGGCAGUCUUGUAAGCAAUAUAUUCAUAUGUUAUCUUCUUUUCACUGGACUCAAUCUGAGCUAUUUGUGUAAGCUCGUAUCUAACUAUUGACCGAUUCAUUAGUUGUAUUAAUACUGAACCUUGUACCAAGCAGAAAUAUUUGAAAACUUGGGAAAAGGACAUGACUUUAAUUUGUUAUUAGUGAGGACUUGAGAGAGCUACAC